GCUCACUUCAGCAGCACAGACUAACACUGGAAUGACAGAGAUUAGCGUGGCCCUUGUGCAAGGAUGACAUAUAAAUUCAUGAAGCGUUCCAUAUUUUU
rnacentral:snRNA from 1 species